rnacentral:rRNA from 1 species
CAGUCGCCGCGGUAAUACGAGGGGGGCAAGCGUUGUUCGGAAUUAUUGGGCGUAAAGGGUGCGUAGGCGGUUUGACAAGUCUUAUGUGAAAUCUAUGGGCUCAACCCAUAGUCUGCAUGAGAAACUGUCGGGCUUGAGAGUGGGAGAGGUGAGUGGAAUUUCCGGUGUAGCGGUGAAAUGCGUAGAUAUCGGAAGGAACACCUGUGGCGAAAGCGGCUCACUGGACCAUUUCUGACGCUGAUGCACGAAAGCUAGGGGAGCAAACAGGAUUAGAUACCCCCGUAGUCCCUGUCUCUUAUAC